GGGAGCGAACAGGAUUAGAUACCCUGGUAGUCACGCCGUAAACGAUGAGUGCUAAGUGUUAGGGGGUUUCCGCCCCUUAGUGCUGCAGCUAACGCAUUAAGCACUCCGCCUGGGGAGUACGGUCGCAAGACUGAAACUCAAAGGAAUUGACGGGGGCCCGCACAAGCGGUGGAGCAUGUGGUUUAAUUCGAAGCAACGCGAAGAACCUUACCAGGUCUUGACAUCCUCUGACAAUCCUAGAGAUAGGACGUCCCCUUCGGGGGCAGAGUGACAGGUGGUGCAUGGUUGUCGUCAGCUCGUGUCGUGAGAUGUUGGGUUAAGUCCCGCAACGAGCGCAACCCUUGAUCUUAGUUGCCAGCAUUCAGUUGGGCACUCUAAGGUGACUGCCGGUGACAAACCGGAGGAAGGUGGGGAUGACGUCAAAUCAUCAUGCCCCUUAUGACCUGGGCUACACACGUGCUACAAUGGACAGAACAAAGGGCAGCGAAACCGCGAGGUUAAGCCAAUCCCACAAAUCUGUUCUCA
rnacentral:rRNA from 1 species